rnacentral:piRNA from 1 species
UUGGAUGUUUUUAAGCACCACAAACAGCCUU